CAACCUUGGACAUACUGUCCUUGAUGGAAUCCAUACCAAUCAUUAAGCAAAUGACAUGACGAGGACUAUAUUUAUUGAGUACUCUAAUGUGAAGCAAUUGCAUUGAAGGUCACAAUUAACAGCUUCCUUGUAUCCAUGGCCAUUGCGGUAUGACCUUGCAGAUUCUUCCACCAAGAGCCCUGGAAUCAGCCAUUUCUCCAAGGACUCCUGGUACCCUUCAAUGGAGAAUAGUAUUUCGACGACAAGAUCUGAAUGUCAGCAUCUGUAUGGCCAACAACAUUCUCUGACUAUGAUCAUCAAAGCCACGAUGCCGGUGCUUCUGUACUGGGACAGGAAGAUUUGCUGAGUUGCUGAGGCACUGCAGAAUGAGGAGUGGUCCCUCUCCCCAUCAUUCCUAACAUCUCAUUUGCAGAAUUUGUGCUUCCUCUCUGCUCUGAGUAAUUAGAAGUUCUGGUUUCCAGAGGACUGAGGGUGAUACUUCUUACCAGGGUCAUAAGAAAAUGUCCCUUAGGCUCCAGGCUAUGGUUUAUGCCCAUUUGUUUAGGGCCCCUCAUCCCAAAAAUAUCAUGCAAAGAAAUUAAAUACUCCACUGGCAGAUAAUGGGAGUCACUAUGAAGUCUCUUGAUGAUUUAAUGCUCAGUGAAAACAGCAAAUGGGCUAUUCCAGCAACCGAAGCCCUGACAAAGACUUCAUAGCUAGGGGUUUAGACCCCUUAGUUGUGAAGCAGGUUGGCAUCACCCCACAGGGGCAGCAGACCUAGACCAGUUGAAGU